AUAUGAUAAAGGCAAACCUAUCGAAAGGUAGGGACGCAAAGCUACGAGUCUAAGGUGUUAUAACACUAUGACAGUCGGGUUGCCAAG
rnacentral:ncRNA from 1 species